rnacentral:rRNA from 1 species
GACGAACGCUGGCGGCGUGCCUAAUACAUGCAAGUAGAACGCUGAAGAGAGGAGCUUGCUCUUCUUGGCUGAGUUGCGAACGGGUGAGUAACGCGUAGGUAACCUGCCUUGUAGCGGGGGAUAACUAUUGGAAACGAUAGCUAAUACCGCAUAACAAUGGAUGACCCAUGUCCUUUAUUUGAAAGGGGCAAAUGCUCCACUACAAGAUGGACCUGCGUUGUAUUAGCUAGUAGGUGAGGUAACGGCUCACCUAGGCGACGAUACAUAGCCGACCUGAGAGGGUGAUCGGCCACACUGGGACUGAGACACGGCCCAGACUCCUACGGGAGGCAGCAGUAGGGAAUCUUCGGCAAUGGGGGCAACCCUGACCGAGCAACGCCGCGUGAGUGAAGAAGGUUUUCGGAUCGUAAAGAUCUGUUGUAAGUCAAGAACGAGUGUGAGAGUGGAAAGUUCACACUGUGACGGUAGCUUAACAGAAAGGGACGGCUAACUACGUG